rnacentral:rRNA from 1 species
UACGUAGGGUGCGAGCGUUGUCCGGAAUUACUGGGCGUAAAGAGCUCGUAGGUGGUUUGUCGCGUUGUCCGUGAAAACUCACAGCUUAACUGUGGGCGUGCGGGCGAUACGGGCAGACUUGAGUACUGCAGGGGAGACUGGAAUUCCUGGUGUAGCGGUGGAAUGCGCAGAUAUCAGGAGGAACACCGGUGGCGAAGGCGGGUCUCUGGGCGAUACUGACGCUGAGGAGCGAAAGCGUGGGGAGCAAACAGG